CAUCUUUUCAUCUUUUCUGCUCUACCCUUCAAGAAAAACAUUUCAAGAUUUCUGGUUUUUGUGUUGGUACUUUACAACUAAUAGGGUUUUCUAAUGCUACCACCACUACCCCCCCAUCAUGCAGUGCUGCAAAAUGACUGGCUUAUAAACCAGUAAGCUGCCUUUGGCAACCAGACCCUUACUGAAGAGCCAGCUAUG